UGAUGUAAAUUCACACAGUACACAGCAUCAUCAAGUUCGACUGAAUCGUUGUUCCCAAUGCAAUAAAUCCCUGGUGAGAUUGUCUACCAUCCUAAGAGUUUCCUUCUCUUCUUCUGGGCCUUCUUUCGAUGACUUUGUGGAUGAUUGAUUACCAGCAGACUGAGCUGCCAUUUCAACUUGAAUAUGUCCAAUAUACUCUAGCAUAGAGGCAACUCUUCGCCGCAUCUCAGUCAUAGUGAUUCUUGAGUGCAAUCCCUUAGGCUUGGUUAUGGUCUCUACGAACGUUCCAUCCGGAUGUAAUUGAGGAAUUCGGUGAUUAUCGUUCGAACUAGAUUUUCCUCUUCUUCCUCCCACCUUUCUUGUUUUUGAAGGCUUCGGUGCGACAGCUGCUGGAAGAUCCGCUUUGUCUUCUGCCGCUGCUUCACGUUUAGCUUUUCGCGUUGACCGAGUAGUGGUCGAAAUAGAAGUAAUGGUAGAUUGUUGUGAGCUUUGAGGGGAUGCUUCUCCAGACUCCUCUUUUACUGAGUGCUUUUCUUCAUCAGCAAUCUCCUCAACCGUAUCUACAGUUUCUUCUUCAGGGGCAUCCGUUUCAGCGACAUUAGUAGUAGAGGUUUCUUUAUUCUCUUCGUUUUCGUCCUUCGACUCCUUA